rnacentral:rRNA from 1 species
GUGUCAGCCGCCGCGGUAAUACGUAGGGUGCAAGCGUUGUCCGGAAUUACUGGGCGUAAAGAGCUCGUAGGCGGUUUGUCGCGUCGUCUGUGAAAACCAGCAGCUCAACUGUUGGCUUGCAGGCGAUACGGGCAGACUUGAGUAUUUCAGGGGAGACUGGAAUUCCUGGUGUAGCGGUGAAAUGCGCAGAUAUCAGGAGGAACACCGGUGGCGAAGGCGGGUCUCUGGGAAAUAACUGACGCUGAGGAGCGAAAGCGUGGGUAGCGAACAGGAUUAGAUACCCUGGUAGUCCACGCCGUAAACGGUGGGCGCUAGGUGUGGGUUUCCUUCCACGGGAUCCGUGCCGUAGCUAACGCAUUAAGCGCCCCGCCUGGGGAGUACGGCCGCAAGGCUAAAACUCAAAGGAAUUGGCGG